CACCUGACCUACCAACUGGGUUUAUAAUAAACUACCACCUGACCUACCAACUGGGUUUAUAAUAAACUACCACCUGACCUACCAACUGGGUUUAUAAUAAACUACCACCUGACCUACCAACUGGGUUUAUAAUAAACUACCACCUGACCUACCAACUGGGUUUAUAAUAAACUACCACCUGACCUACCAACUGGGUUUAUAAUAAACUACCACCUGACCUACCAACUGGGUUUAUAAUAAACUACCACCUGGUUUAUUCACUUCAACAUAAUAUACUUCAUUUACGCCCAACAGGCCAUUAUUACUGGGCUUAAUAAUGACAGACAGACAACACAUAACAACUGGAUCAAUACAUGGUGGUCCUCUGUAGCCCCAUUGGUAGAGCAUGGCGCUUGCAACAUCAGGAUUGUGGGUUCAAUUCCCGCUGGGGUCACCCAUAAGUUAAAAAGUACAUUGCUUUGGGUAGAAGCAUCUGAGAAAUGGCAUAUAUUAUUAUUGCAAGAUCAUAUAUCAAUCAUCAAUAAGAAGAUGGGACAGAUACAGGACACGCAACAACUUAAUUUGUACCCAAUCAACCUUCCCUGUGACUGGGCUACAGUGUCGCUGAGAGGCCGGGUGGUGUGUUUGUGUCGGGGUGCGGUUUAGUGAGUGACCCUGGUGUAAAGGCAGGAUAUGUUCCCCUGCCACAUGCCCAGCCCUGUUUACCAGCCUGUGCUAUAGACAUUACAUGUACAACUGACUGUACCUGCUCUGAUGAGUGUUUUAUAUCAACAAUGUCUGUACAAUAAUCCAAAACUGAAUAUUACGUGUUAUCAUGUGUUUCUAUAGCGAUAGAGCUGUUCAUGAUGCCAUUGGCUAAGAGAAUUUGAGUUGAUUUACUGUCAUUGGCCCUCCUUCUCUGUGCAUCCUGUUGCUUCACCUCAUUGGUUGAUUGUCCCGCCCGUUGUCCAGGUGAUCAAUCCCAGCCAGGCAGGUGUGUGUGUGUGUGUGUGUGUGUGUGUGUGUGUGUGUGUGUGUGUGU
rnacentral:lncRNA from 13 species